UUCGAUUGUGCCAGCAGCCGCGGUAAUACGUAGGGUCCAAGCGUUAAUCGGAAUUACUGGGCGUAAAGCGUCCGCAGGUGGCUUGAUAAGAUAGACGUGAAAUCCCUGGGCUCAACCUAGGAAUUGCGUUUAUGACUGUCUCGCUAAAGUAUGGGAGAGGGGGGUGGAAUUCCGCGUGUAGCAGUGAAAUGCGUAGAGAUGCGGAGGAACACCGAUGGCGAAGGCAACCCCCUGGCCUAAUACUGACACUCAUGGACGGAAGCGUGGGGAGCAAACAGGAUUAGAUACCCUGGUAGUCCACGCCGUAAACGAUGUCGACUUGGAGGUUGUUCCCUUGAGGAGUGGCUUCCGGAGCUAACGCGUUAAGUCGACCGCCUGGGGAGUACGGCCGC
rnacentral:rRNA from 1 species